CCUACGGGAGGCAGCAGUGAGGAAUAUUGGUCAAUGGGCGAGAGCCUGAACCAGCCAAGUCGCGUGAGGGAGUACUGCCCUAUGGGUUGUAAACCUCUUUUGUCGGGGAGCAAAAGCCGGACGUGUCCGGCUGUGAGAGUACCCGAAGAAAAAGCAUCUGCUAACUCCGUGCCAGCAGCCGCGGUAAUACGGAGGAUGCGAGCGUUAUCCGGAUUUAUUGGGUUUAAAGGGUGCGCAGGCGGAUUUUUAAGUCAGCGGUAAAAUCGUGGGGCUCAACCCCAUCCAGCCGUUGAAACUGGGGAUCUAGAGUGUGCGAGAGGUAUGCGGAAUGCGUGGUGUAGCGGUGAAAUGCAUAGAUAUCACGCAGAACCCCGAUUGCGAAGGCAGCAUACCGGUGCACAACUGACGCUCAGGCACGAAAGCGUGGGUAUCGAACAGGAUUAGAUACCCGUGUAGUC
rnacentral:rRNA from 1 species